rnacentral:lncRNA from 1 species
AGAUGAAGAAAAAUAUUGCAUGAUUACUAUUCUGUCCAAUGAGUGUUUACUGCGAGGAAACAAAAUGACGGACGGCGGCCUGUGAUGAGUGUGAUUAAGUCGUAGUCCCUGAUCGAAUUAGAAGGCCAUGGCGUUAUAGAGGACAGAGGACAUUCCAGUACAGCUAUACACAGGAGGAAUCACGUAACCCUAGAAAUGUCAUCAUCUUAAUCACCUUUACCAAGCCCCAAAAAUGGAAAACAGCAUUGUUACACAGUACAGUAGGAGCCUACGAUCUAGAUAUAGUCCACGUCUUAUACGUCCAAUGAAUGUCCUGCUUUGAAAAGCCUCCAUGACAGAGGAGGACGCCACAGACCUGUUACACCAGAGGACUGUCUCUCUCAGUGUGCCCGUCCAUUCAGGUCACCCGCUGGAAAAAAAUAUGAAUGUUUUUCAUCCAUAUUAAAAGUCCUCUCUGUAGCUCCCUUUGGGGGAGUGCUUCACCCCUUCAACAUUGUGGAGGGAGAGUGGUUAGUAUUCCGAUUGAUAGAUUACAAGGCUAUAAUCUCACCUCUUGAAAGGCACACAGUGUUGUAGGGAUGGGAUGCCACAGUGGGAGAUAAAAGGAUCUUCAUGUCUAGAGCAUUGGGCUGAUUUAAAUAUAAGCAAUGCUAAAACACAAAGUAGAAUAGAGACGAGUUGAAGAAUAUAUUAAUUUUCAAAUAUGAGCAAAGUGUAGCCUAUUCCACUGUGACCAGUUUCGGCCCAGUUUGGGAAACAUGUUUGAUUUAAAUGUGUUUUUUAAAUAUCUGAAUAAGUCUAGGUUGGCUCUGUCUUGUGGUUAAGUAAUGCAUUAAUACUAAGUAUAGUUAAUUACAAUAAAUUGAGUCCAUGUUUUAUGCACAAGGGUAAACAGAAGAGCAGAUUAUACAGUAUUUUAAAAAUAAAUCUAAGUAUAUUGGAAUUUUUUGGAUCAAAAUCUUAUUGUUAGAUCUUGUAAAUCAUAUUAAUAUGAUUGAAGAUUAAAUUAACAUUAUACAUUCAUUUAAAAUUAAAACAGCUCUCUAUAUUGUCAUAACUGGUGAAUGAACAAUAGCAGUAUCAAAGGCAGGUAAGAUAGCUUCAUAAAUCAUAUUCAGGGCUAAAAUAUUUGAGUCCAAAUUUGAUACUUCCCAUUGAAUUGUUUGUUUCAUAGGUACCUACCUAUAGGCCAAUAUGAAGUCAUGAGUUUUAACCAGAAAUUCAUUUGAGUUCUCUCCUUUCAAUCCCACUCCCGUUUACUGACAAGGGAGUCUAGGACAUUUGUCUGUGUCUGUAAUAAGCUUGUGGUUUUACAUAUUGCACAAGUAAGGAUGUUUGAUUUGUAACUCCAAAGUCUAUCAAGAGAUAUUUACGCCUGGU